rnacentral:rRNA from 1 species
CCUACGGGGGGCAGCAGUGGGGAAUAUUGGGCAAUGGGCGCAAGCCUGACCCAGCAACGCCGCGUGAAGGAAGAAGGCCCUCGGGUUGUAAACUUCUUUUGUCAGGGACGAAGCAAGUGACGGUACCUGACGAAUAAGCCACGGCUAACUACGUGCCAGCAGCCGCUGUAAUCCGUAGGUGGCAAGCGUUAUCCGGAUUUACUGGGUGUAAAGGGCGUGUAGGCGGGGAAGCAAGUCAGCUGUGAAAUGCCAGGGCUCAACCCUGGGACUGCAUUUGAAACUGUUUUUCUUGAGUGAUGGAGAGGCAGGCGGAAUUCCGGGUGUAGCGGUGAAAUGCGUAGAUAUACGGAGGAACACCAGUGGCGAAGGCGGCCUGCUGGACAUUAACUGACGCUGAGGCGCGAAAGCGUGGGGAGCAAACAGGAUUAGAUACCCGAGUAGUC